CUGAGCCGUGUGCUCGGACGACGGGCAUGCACGGUUCUGAGGGGGCGGGAGCACAGCAAUGUGCUCCCGCUACCCGAC
rnacentral:ncRNA from 1 species